GUCCAGCUGACGAGUCCGAAAUAGGAUGAAACACGCGUCCUGGAU
rfam:Schistosoma rodhaini strain Burundi genome assembly, scaffold: SROB_scaffold0000015